rnacentral:rRNA from 1 species
UCUCAACCGCCAGGGAACUACGAGCCAAGCUUAAAACCCAAAGGACUUGACGGUACCCCAUAUCCCCCUAGAGGAGCCUGUCCUAUAAUCGAUAAUCCACGUUUAACCUUACCAUUUUUAGCUUAUCAGCCUGUAUACCUCCGUCGUCAGCUUACCACGUGAGCGAAACCUAGUGAGCUUAAUGCCUCUACACCAAUACGUCAGGUCAAGGUGCAGUAAAUGAAAUGGAAAGAGAUGGGCUACACUCUCUAAUCUAGAAGAUACGAAAAACUAACUAUGAAACCUAGUUGAAAGGCGGAUUUAGUAGUAAAAAGAAACAAUAGAGUUCUUUUUAACCCGGCACUGGGGUGUGUACACACCGCCCGUCACCCUCCUCAAAGCUAAAAAUUAGUGUAU